AGAACGAACGCUGGCGGCGUGCCUAACACAUGCAAGUCGAGCGAGAAAAGGGGGGCAACUCCCUGAGUAAAGCGGCGCACGGGUGAGUAACACGUAGGUGACCUACCCCUGUAGUCUGGGAUAACCUACCGAAAGGUGGGCUAAUACCGGAUAUGACCACGAGAGUCUCGGCUCUUGAGGUGAGAGAUGGCCUCUGCUUGCAAGCCAUCGCUCGAGGAGGGGCCUGCGCGCCAUUAGCUAGUUGGCGGGGUAAUGGCCCACCAAGGCUAUGAUGGCUAGCUGGUCUGAGAGGAUGACCAGCCACACUGGGACUGAAACACGGCCCAGACUCCUACGGGAGGCAGCAGUGGGGGAUAUUGCGCAAUGGGCGAAAGCCUGACGCAGCGACGCCGCGUGGGUGAUGAAGGCCUUCGGGUCGUAAAGCCCUGUCGAGGGGGAAGAAACAGUUGCGGUCGAAUAGGCCGCAACCCUGACGGUACCCCUAAAGGAAGCACCAGCUAACUCCGUGCCAGCAGCCGCGGUAAUACGGAGGGUGCUAGCGUUGUUCGGAAUCACUGGGCGUAAAGCGCGUGUAGGCGGUCUGCUAAGUCUGAUGUGAAAGCCCGGGGCUCACCCCCGGAAGUGCAUUGGAAACUGGCAGACUGGAGUCCCGGAGAGGAGGGGUGGAAUUCCUGGUGUAGCGGUGAAAUGCGUAGAUAUCAGGAGGAACACCGGUGGCGAAGGCGGCCCUCUGGACGGUGACUGACGCUGAGACGCGAAAGCGUGGGGAGCAAACAGGAUUAGAUACCCUGGUAGUCCACGCCGUAAACGAUGGGCACUAGGGGUGGGGGGGGUGUCGACUCCUCCCGUGCCGGCGCUAACGCAUUAAGUGCCCCGCCCUGGGGGAGUACGGUCGCAAGAUUAAA
rnacentral:rRNA from 1 species